rnacentral:lncRNA from 1 species
GUACAUUUGAAUUAUACUGGUAUGUAUGAACAAAACUUGUCCCAAUUUUAAACUCAAGCCUUAUGCAAAUAGAACAAGAACACAGCAAUAAAAGCAACAAACCAAACGCACAUAGAGGUACAAUUAGUCAAACAAAGGGACAAUCAGUGCCCCACAUGUUACAAACUCUCCUGUUGUCUCCUUUCACAAUUCGACAUCAUUGAUUUCACAAUUUUGUUCAAUGUAUAAAUAUAUCAUUUGUGAUUUCGAUCACUUUUUCCACCCUUAGUACCUCGUGCACCCUUAUUACCUCGGCCACACUUAUCACCCCAACCCACACCUUAUUACAUCGUAUUGCGGCGUGCAACCCGACCUCGGCGUAUAGUUUCAAUUCACAACAAACACAACCAAACAACAAGUCACAAAAAAAUAAACAACAAGUACACCUCAAGACAUCACCACAAUAAUAUUACAAGUAUUUCCAUAACUAUUAGUACCAAUUCCAUUGCUUCCAACAGUUCGUACUCGAUUCAAGUUACCACAAUUGCCCACAACAUUUCAUGUACAUUGUUAUCACAUUUAAGCUUGUUUCACCAUUUACGGAUUCCUUGAAUCACUUGUUAUUCAACUUUUUCCACAAGAUGCAUUCACAAUCAAACCAGUCAAGAAGCUCACAAAUAACCAACAUAGAUAUCAAUUGCCAAAUAAUUCACAUACCAAGCGAGGCGAUUUCAUAAAAAUCGAGGUUAGCCAUAAAUACCUGGAGUCAAAUUCUAUUUAUAAGCUCCUAUUCUCAGUCACCAAGCUAUCUAGCACAGCCCUCUACUUCUAUCCAAUUUUCCUUUCACUAGAUUCUAGGUUUGAGUCACAUGCAUGAGGUAUUUCAGUUGUUAGUUCAAAAUUAAAGCAUAAAACUCCCUUCCCUUAGCUUAAAUUAGAAAAAUUAGGGAAAAUGUUUAGGGAUUUUACCUGUAAGAGUGGGGAUGAAGACAAUAAACUUAAAAUUUUCACGGCCCGGAUGGUUUUGGAGGAUCAAUUUGAUGGAAAUUCCUUUCUCUCUUAAGAACUCUCUCUUCCCUCUCUCUUGUUUUAUUCAGAAAAUGAGUAAAAAUGAGGGGUAAGGGUGUUUUAUUAGAAAAGAGUCGGGUUUAAAAUUUUUAGAAAAUUACUGUUUGCAACGGAUUUGCGGUCAACUAUAUGAUCGGAUAGUCCACAUGUGGUCCGCAUAUUGGACCGUAUACUGGUCCCAAAUUGCUGACCUCUCAGUUUGGGUAUACGGUGAGAAUGCGGUCUGCAUACACGUUCUGCGGUCGCAGAUUGCGCCGCAUAAUUGACCUCCACAAAUUCUCGAGAAAUUUAUGUGACGACUAUGCAAUCCGCAUAUUGGUUAUGCGAUCGCAUAAUGGACCGCAUUUUCAACAUCCAUUUUGGCUACUCUCUGUUUCACUUUGAGGUCGAUUUGCAGCCUACAUAUUGGUUAUGCGAUCGCAUAAUGGACCGCAUUUUCAACAUCCAAUUUAGCUACUCUCUGAUUCAUUCUGCGGUCGAUAUGCGGUCCGCAUAUUGGUUAUGCGAUCGCAUAAUGGACCCCAUUUUUAACAUCCAAUUUGGCUGCUCUCUGAUUCAUUCUGCGGUCGAUAUGCGGUCUGCAUACCUGAUCUGUGACCGCAUUCCUGACCGCAGAAUGACAUUUUUUCGGAAAAAAUUUGAUUCUCGAUUUGUAAGUGUAAAAUCAGUAGAAAAGGGUUCCGACACAAUGAUGGAGCCGACUCUAUGAGUUGUUAGAACUUGAGCACUUAUUUUUGCGGGGUCUUACAUAUGUGGUCCGCGCCCAUCACCCUACCUGGCCGCGAGUCAUAUUUGUGCGAUCCCUGUCCCCAGAAUCAGAAGCAAGAUAUGAAGACCCAAACCCCUAUGUAGCUGCGCGUCAUUUGUGCGCGGUCCGUGCCAGACCCUUAGGGGUAUUUUUGUCUAGUUUUUCCUGUGUAGUGUAAAUAGAACAUUUUACUUUUUUAGGUUAAGUUUUUUUUAUCAGAUAGCAGCUGAACUCGAGACUUCAUAUGUUGGGUAUUUGUCAUUUGGGUUAAUCUUAUGUUUUCACUAAGAUUUGGUGGUUGCAAACACUAAGUCUAGCUUAGUGGGUCUUGACUCUUCUUGAGAUUGAGAGUCUAUGACCCCAAAAUUAAUUCCAACAAG